UCAUCUUUCGGCACUUUCUCUUCAAUCUCCUCGUGCGCUUCUUCUUGCACUUGGCUCUCAUGGUGACUGGGCUGUAAAGGUCAACAAAUUCUCUCUCAGUGGCCUUCGGAAUCAUGGGUGAAAAUCGGUAUGUCCUAUAAGAUUGCUUGAUUGAGAGUGUUUUCAAUUUUCUUCAAAUUGCGGUUGGUUAUUUGUUUAACAUAGCAAAAGCGGAUUCAAUCCCCCCCAAACAAAAGACUCAAAUUCAAUUAGAAAAAAAUCGAAAUAAUAAUGGCACAGCAUGGAAGAUUGUAAAGAAAAUACCCUUAAUCUAUCUGGCAAUUUUAUAGACAAACCGAAAAAAAUAUAUGGUGGCAAAGGAAGAUUGUAAACGAAGAGCAGAAGUCAUAA
rnacentral:lncRNA from 1 species